CACACCGCCCGUCACACCAUGGGAGUUGGAUUCACUCGAAGGCGUUGAGCUAACCCGCAAGGGAGGCAGGCGACCACAGUGGGUUUAGCGACUGGGUG
rnacentral:rRNA from 1 species